rnacentral:rRNA from 1 species
AUGCAAGUCGAACGAUGAACUCCCAGCUUGCUGGGGGGGAUUAGUGGCGAACGGGUGAGUAACACGUGAGUAACCUGCCCUGGACUCUGGGAUAACCCCGAGAAAUCGGAGCUAAUACCGGAUAGGACCUGGAACCGCAUGGUUUUGGGUGGAAAGUUUUUUCGGUCUGGGAUGGACUCGCGGCCUAUCAGCUUGUUGGUGAGGUAAUGGCUCACCAAGGCGUCGACGGGUAGCCGGCCUGAGAGGGUGACCGGCCACACUGGGACUGAGACACGGCCCAGACUCCUACGGGAGGCAGCAGUGGGGAAUAUUGCACAAUGGGCGAAAGCCUGAUGCAGCAACGCCGCGUGAGGGAUGACGGCCUUCGGGUUGUAAACCUCUUUUAGUAGGGAAGAAGGGCUUCGGCUUGACGGUACCUGCAGAAAAAGCACCGGCUAACUACGUGCCAGCAGCCGCGGUAAUACGUAGGGUGCGAGCGUUGUCCGGAAUUAUUGGGCGUAAAGAGCUCGUAGGCGGUUUGUCACGUCUGCUGUGAAAUCCCGAGGCUCAACCUCGGGCCUGCAGUGGGUACGGGCAGACUGGAGUGCGGUAGGGGAGAUUGGAAUUCCUGGUGUAGCGGUGGAAUGCGCAGAUAUCAGGAGGAACACCGAUGGCGAAGGCAGAUCUCUGGGCCGUAACUGACGCUGAGGAGCGAAAGCAUGGGGAGCGAACAGGAUUAGAUACCCUGGUAGUCCAUGCCGUAAACGUUGGGCGCUAGAUGUGGGGACCAUUCCACGGUUUCCGUGUCGUAGCUAACGCAUUAAGCGCCCCGCCUGGGGAGUACGGCCGCAAGGCUAAAACUCAAAGGAAUUGACGGGGGCCCGCACAAGCGGCGGAGCAUGCGGAUUAAUUCGAUGCAACGCGAAGAACCUUACCAAGGCUUGACAUAUACGAGAACGCCGCAGAAAUGUGGAACUCUUUGGACACUCGUAUACAGGUGGUGCAUGGUUGUCGUCAGCUCGUGUCGUGAGAUGUUGGGUUAAGUCCCGCAACGAGCGCAACCCUCGUCCU